rnacentral:tRNA from 1 species
UGCAUAAGAACAUGGCUUUUUCA